CUAGCUUUCCACAUGCGCAAGUCACCUGUUAAUAUCUCAAAUGAUUGAAGAGUUUUUGCUGAGGGGUAUUUCAGUGUGUGGAUUGGGAUACCACAUUGAUUCAAACUAGAACCUUUAAAAGUCAACAAGGCACCAGACACUACUGGACAAACAAAUUGCACUACAGUUUUGGUAAGUAAUUAGUUCAUUAUCUUUGCAAACAUGGCAAUAUAUGUAGUUAUUUGUUCAAGUUGGUCUUAGCCUUAGUUUUACAACUUUGAUUAUGAAAGUGUGAAAAUAUUUUUUUAAAGCUUAAGCAUGUCCUAGGUUGCCAUCUUGACUCUGCAAUUAGUCCCUAACUGUAUUUGGAAGUGACAUAACGCUGUAAUUAUACAAACCAGAUGUAAGAGGUUUUUGUACUGACAUGUUCCACAGUGCAGAUAAACUGACGUUUGGAAAAGCUAUCAAUCUCAUUGUUGAACCCAAAGGAAUUGCUGCCCGCCCAACACUCUCCAUCCUCACCCCACUACACAAGAGUGGGGAUGAUGACCAGCCUAAGGUGUGCCUGGCUACAGGCUUCUUUCCUAGUACGAAAAACAUGAAUCUGAUCCUGGGGAAUAAUGAUACUGUCCAACUCAGCACAACCAAGGCAGCUUUAUCUUCCACACGUACCUACUUCUUUGCCGGAUUCUCCAAAGAGAAUAUCAAGCGUUGUGAGAUGGAUGGCAACGUCGAGCCGCCCGUUGAUGAUAAAGAUGAUUCUACAGAUGUGUCUAACUAUAACACCACGGCUACAACUGCUUCUGUCAAUUGCAAAGAUGAACCCCUCAACAAUGUUACUACCACCAACUAUACCGAUUAUACCAAGAUGAACUUCACAUCCUUGGUUGUGUAUGGUUUGAGAGUGCUGUUUGCCAAAGCCGUGGCAUUUAAUGUGCUAUUUACUGUCAAGGCCCUGGUGUUCUAG
rnacentral:lncRNA from 8 species